CUUUAAUUGUAUGACCUCUGGUAAGUCGACCACACUUCAGGGCAUCCCCGUUUCCAGGAGUAGUUUGGUAACACAAAUUGGACUUGAUAAGUUUUUGAAAAAGUCGAAAAUUCAAAGCUGGGUGGAUAGGAGAGUGAGGGUGAAUUUCAGAUGAGUUGGAAGGGUAAUUUGAUAAAGAUGUAUGCAAUUUUGGAAGAAUUAAUAAAUAUAUUAUUGUGAUGGUUUGUAUUUGCUUAGCCUAGGGAGUAGCACCAUUAGGAGGUGUAGUCUUGUUGGAGGAAGAGUGUCACUGUGGAUAUGAGCUUUAAGGCCUUCAUUCUAGCUGCCUGGAAGCCAGUAUUCUGCUCACAGCCUUCAGAUGAAGAUGUAGAACUCUCAGAUCUGCCUGCACCAUGCUUGCUUGGAUGCUAUCAUGAUUUCACCUCGAUGAUAAUGGACUAAACCUCUGAACCGGUAUUAUGAUGGCUAAAAUUAUGCACAUUGGAGCAACACGAAAUGAACACAGCAAAGAACAGCCAGGCUACACAGGAAAAUACUGUUUCAAAAAUCCAAAAAAAAAAAUUGUAAAAGUAAUAAAAGAAAAUAAAAAGAUAAAAAGAAGGCAGGAGAGAGAAGAAGGAGGAGGAAGAAGUGGAAUGAGAGAAAAGAGAGCGAGCUCUGAAGGAUAAAAAGAAUGGAACAUGUAUUGAAUCAAGAAGAAGAGGUUGGCAAAUACAGAAGUGGAUGCUCACAGUCAUCUAUUGAAUGGAUCACAGGGCCCCCAAUGGAGGAGCUAGAGAAAGUACCCAAGGAGCUGAAGGAGUCUUAUAGGAGGAACAACAAUAUGAACUAACCAGUACCCCCAGAGCUCGUGUCUCUAGCUGCAAAUGUAGCAGAAGAUGGCCUAGUCAGCCAUCAUUGGGAGGAGAGUCCCUUGGUCUUGCAAAGAUUCUAUACCCCAGUA
rnacentral:lncRNA from 1 species